rnacentral:rRNA from 1 species
GCCAGACUCCUACGGGAGGCAGCAGUGAGGAAUAUUGGUCAAUGGUCGGGAGACUGAACCAGCCAAGCCGCGUGAGGGAUGAAGGUACAGAGUAUCGUAAACCUCUUUUGUCAGGGAACAAAGGCGGGGACGUGUCCCCGGAUGAGUGUACCUGAAGAAAAAGCAUCGGCUAACUCCGUGCCAGCAGCCGCGGUAAUACGGAGGAUGCGAGCGUUAUCCGGAUUUAUUGGGUUUAAAGGGUGCGUAGGCGGGCUUUUAAGUCAGCGGUAAAAAUUCGGGGCUCAACCCCGUCCGGCCGUUGAAACUGGCGGGCUGGAGUUGGAGAGAAGUACGCGGAAUGCGCGGUGUAGCGGUGAAAUGCUUAGAUAUCGCGCAGAACCCCGAUUGCGAAGGCAGCGUACCGGCUCCACACUGACGCUGAGGCACGAAAGCGUGGGUAUCGAACAGGAUUAGAUACCCGAGUA